UACGGAGGGAGCUAGCGUUGUUCGGAAUUACUGGGCGUAAAGCGCGCGUAGGCGGCUUUGUAAGUUAGAGGUGAAAGCCCGGGGCUCAACUCCGGAACUGCCUUUAAGACUGCAUCGCUUGAAUCCGGGAGAGGUGAGUGGAAUUCCGAGUGUAGAGGUGAAAUUCGUAGAUAUUCGGAAGAACACCAGUGGCGAAGGCGGCUCACUGGACCGGUAUUGACGCUGAGGUGACGAAAGCGUGGGGAGCAAACAGG
rnacentral:rRNA from 1 species